rnacentral:rRNA from 1 species
CAUGCAAGUCGAACGGAAUAAUGACUUCGGUUGUUAUUUAGUGGCGGAAGGGUUAGUAAUACAUAGAUAAUCUGUCCUCAACUUGGGAAUAACGGUUGGAAACGACCGCUAAUACCGAAUGUAGUAUGUUUAGGCAUCUAAAACAUAUUAAAGAAGGGGAUCUUCGGACCUUUCGGUUAAGGGAGAGUCUAUGGGAUAUCAGCUUGUUGGUGGGGUAAUGGCCUACCAAGGCUUUGACGUCUAGGCGGAUUGAGAGAUUGACCGCCAACACUGGGACUGAGACACUGCCCAGACUUCUACGGAAGGCUGCAGUCGAGAAUCUUUCGCAAUGGACGAAAGUCUGACGAAGCGACGCCGCGUGUGUGAUGAAGGCUCUAGGGUUGUAAAGCACUUUCGCUUGGGAAUAAGAGAGAUUGGCUAAUAUCCAAUCGAUUUGAGCGUACCAGGUAAAGAAGCACCGGCUAACUCCGUGCCAGCAGCUGCGGUAAUACGGAGGGUGCUAGCGUUAAUCGGAUUUAUUGGGCGUAAAGGGCGUGUAGGCGGAAAGGAAAGUUAGAUGUUAAAUCUUGGGGCUCAACCCCAAGCCAGCAUCUAAUACUAUCUUUCUAGAGGGUAGAUGGAGAAAAGGGAAUUCCACGUGUAGCGGUGAAAUGCGUAGAUAUGUGGAAGAACACCAGUGGCGAAGGCGCUUUUCUAAUUUACACCUGACGCUAAGGCGCGAAAGCAAGGGGAGCAAACAG